rnacentral:ncRNA from 16 species
GGCCUGAUGGUCUAGUGGUAUGAUUGUCGCUUCGUAAGUUCCCCUUUCUACCCUAUCAAAACGCACCUCGUCCUAACAACUCCUACCAGGGGAUUUCCACGUCCUGGAUUCUAUAGAGUCUUCUAUGUGACAGGUCCCGGGUUCGAGUCCCGGUCAGGCCC